AAAAGCAUUGAGUUAGGGGCUUGGGGUGUAGCUCAGUGGUCAAGCAUAUCAUGGGACUCAGGUUCAAUCAGUCCUGUGUGGGAGAGCACACUGUGGUCAUUGACAACUCAUCAUACUGAAGGGUUUGGGAGCACAGAAGAGAAACCAAGGUUAAAACCUUCCCGAAGCCAGAAAUAAUGGCGUACAACUCUAGCCCAGCAUUUGGAAGGCAGAGGGAGGAGGGUCAAGAGUUCAAGAUCAUCAGCUGCGUAGGGAGUUGGAGGCUACAGGACGUCUCAAAACAAAAGUCCACCAAACUAAAACCACCUGUAGGACUGGGACUGGGCCUCAGUUGACAGAGUCUAUCUGAUAUGCAUGAAACCUCAGGUUCAAUCCCUGACACUUAGUCAGGGCUGGUGGAAGGAACCUGCUUGAAAUAGAAGCUGCAGGGUGAGGCAGGAGGCCAUCCUUGGUCACCUGAUAAGAGGAGCCAGUGUGAGCCCCCAUGUCCCGCCUCUGUUUACAUGUUACAUGUUACUACAUGUGGGUGGCUUCUUAAGGUGAAAUUCUGUCUGGAGUCAUUUCAGUGGCUUGGCAAUGGUGAGCAAGCUAAAAAUAGAUUCCCUGAUUGGCCUCAACAUGCAUCUGUAGUUUUUCUUGAAAUAAACACCCAGCUCUUAAGAGGG
rnacentral:lncRNA from 1 species